rnacentral:lncRNA from 1 species
GACUAAUCACCUUCUGAAUUCGUUUCCUCUCUCACAGCCUUGCUUUCCCUCACAUGAAUCUCAAACCCUAGCUGUUCUUGCGUGUUAGCCUUCCUCUUUCAACCUACUUCUCACCAAUCCAUCAAUAGAGUCUUUUCUGAUUGAUCUGAUGAUGAAUUGCUUUCGGCCGCCGCUUGAUGUGUAAUUGAAGCUAACGUUGCCGCCGAUUAUGGUAGAAUCAAUCGCGUAUCGACAGCUCAAAUCGUCCGCUGUUCAUCUGUCAUUUUUCCUCACGAGAACCCUAACUACUAUGGUUGAAUGCAUCAGCAGAAGUUGAAUACUUUAGCAAAUGGUCAGUAUCAAUCCCAAUCCUAAUUAAUUUUGGCCAUUUUGUUGAAUAUAUUUCGUACAACUCCAAUUUGUUAAUAGAGAGUUCAUAAUUUUUUUACAUGUAUAUAUGAUGAUUAUUGUCAGUUCAUUGAGGUCGUUUAUUGUCAGUUCACUUUCAAAUUUUGGCUAUAAGUACCCCAUGUUGUGAACUCCCAUUCUCACCAUUCCCAUAUCUCCAAAACCCCCCUCUUCUAUUUUAUCUCACUCACUGAUCUGAUUGAAUCUUCCUGUCCUUUUAUUUAUCCUGUAUCUGCAGACAUGAAAAAAGCUAUUUGAGCGCUGAUUCAUUGUAUAGUGAUUUCGUCAAUUUUUCCUUCAUUUGACCUUUUGCUCUGCGGUUUUGAAAGUUGCAUACUGAAUGUGGAAGGGUGAGUGAUAAACUCUUUUCUUUUUUUGGUUUAUGUUAUUUUUUUUGUUUCAG